UGUUUCAUCUCAACAGGCCUGUACAAAAGCCCCAUACAAAGGCUGCUACAGAAAGGGUUUCUCUAUGUAAGCCCCUCCACAUUGCUGUUAUACUGCCAUCUGUUGUCCCAGUGUGCUCAGGACUUCAUAAAAAUAGUCCGAGUAUUAACUCUUCCUGUGGUACAUAUCUUCCACCUUUUGGACUUGCAGUCUUGACUCUUUCGACUCACCUAAGAUUUUCGAUAUAUGGAAACUUGUGCCUAAAGCUUACCUUCCGACUUGGUAUAUUUCCAUCUUAUAUGCCCCGUGGACGCACCCAUCGAGGGACCACCAGCCAUGUAAAUACACACUAUGACACUUUUAUGCAUUGCAUUUUAUUUUAAUUCUAUAUUUUGAUUAAUAUUUUUGUUUGACUAAUAUGCCACACUGUAUCAUUG